UAGCGCCUAAAGCCUUCUUCCAGGGUCCAAACACCCAUCUGUAAAGCUUAAAGAACCAUUUUAGCAUCCAGCCCCCUUAUUUGAGAACUCAAAGCCCCAUUUUGGGGGUUCAAGCCAUCAUUUUAAGGUCCAAACGAUCAAUUUUAGGGCAUAAGCCACCUUUUCAGGGUCCAAGGCAUCAUUUUAAUAGCCCAAAGCCUUAGUUUGAGGCACAAAACCUAAUUUUCAGGGCCCAGGGCCUCCAUUUGGGAUACAAUGCCUUAGGGUUAGUGUUUAAUGUUAUGUUUAGCUUUAAUGUUAGGGCUGUGGUUAAGGUUAGGGUUAGUGUUAACGGUUAGAGGUUAUGGAUGGGUUUGUUGGUAAUAGAAGAUGAAACAUACAAUAUUGCUUAAUAUGUGUUACAUUUGUGAUGUACUGUUCCGGGGCUGCGCUUGGAAGAUACAAAAUACAUGUGCAAGGAUAGCAUGAGAGAAUGCACCGAUUCAUGAUGAGGAGUAAGGAGGAGGACUAAAAGAAUGCCCAAUUUGUAAGACAUCUAGAUAACUGGGGCCUCGCGGACCCCAGGAACUGGAUCAAACCAACCUUGCGGUUUGGACUGAGACCAAGGGCUCAGAGAGCAUGCGUAAGAAGAAAAGGUUAAAAAGUUCAACUCUGAUGAAGACAUCUUACUUCAUCCCGACGACCACCCAGACAACCAGCAGAGAGUAAUACGCAAGCGCAGAAGGACUGAUAGGAUAAUUAGCAUACGAAGCGGGGCUAGGCAGAGCUAGGAAAUGAAUACGCAUAGAUGUGUUGUGAAACUUAAUGCAUAUGUAAUAUUUUAGGAGAUAAAAGAGAACUGAGUGAACAAAUCAGACAAAGUUAGAUUUGGGCAGGCAUGCCCCUAACUUCCGGCGCCUAAUAAAGCACCUUCAUAUAAUCACUUUGUGGAUUAUGUGUCUUCAUGAAUGCUAACAGGAGCAGCAGAAGCCCUGGGGCCAGGG